UGGGGAAUAUUGCACAAUGGGCGCAAGCCUGAUGCAGCCAUGCCGCGUGUAUGAAGAAGGCCUUCGGGUUGUAAAGUACUUUCAGCGAGGAGGAAGGCAUUAAGGUUAAUAACCUUAGUGAUUGACGUUACUCGCAGAAGAAGCACCGGCUAACUCCGUGCCAGCAGCCGCGGUAAUAACGGAGGGUGCAAGCGUUAAUCGGAAUUACUGGGCGUAAAGCGCACGCAGGCGGUCUGUCAAGUCGGAUGUGAAAUCCCGGGCUCAACCUGGGAACUGCAUCCGAAACUGGCAGGCUAGAGUCUUGUAGA
rnacentral:rRNA from 1 species